rnacentral:rRNA from 1 species
GCGUAACGCGUGGGAAUCUGCCCUUGGGUUCGGGAUAACAGUUGGAAACGACUGCUAAUACCGGAUGAUGUCUUCGGACCAAAGAUUUAUCGCCCAAGGAUGAGCCCGCGUAGGAUUAGCUUGUUGGUGAGGUAAGAGCUCACCAAGGCGACGAUCCUUAGCUGGUCUGAGAGGAUGAUCAGCCACACUGGGACUGAGACACGGCCCAGACUCCUACGGGAGGCAGCAGCGGGGAAUAUUGGACAAUGGGCGAAAGCCUGAUCCAGCAAUGCCGCGUGAGUGAUGAAGGCCUUAGGGUUGUAA